rnacentral:rRNA from 1 species
GAUGAACGCUGGCGGCGUGCUUAACACAUGCAAGUCGAACGAUAAAGCCCAGCUUGCUGGGUGGAUUAGUGGCGAACGGGUGAGUAACACGUGAGUAACCUGCCCUUGACUCUGGGAUAAGCCCGGGAAACUGGGUCUAAUACCGGAUAGGAGCGCCUGUCGCAUGACGGGUGUUGGAAAGAUUUUUCGGUCAUGGAUGGACUCGCGGCCUAUCAGCUUGUUGGUGAGGUAAUGGCUCACCAAGGCGACGACGGGUAGCCGGCCUGAGAGGGUGACCGGCCACACUGGGACUGAGACACGGCCCAGACUCCUACGGGAGGCAGCAGUGGGGAAUAUUGCACAAUGGGCGGAAGCCUGAUGCAGCGACGCCGCGUGAGGGAUGACGGCCUUCGGGUUGUAAACCUCUUUCAGUAGGGAAGAAGCGAAA